rnacentral:rRNA from 1 species
UGGUGGAGUGAUUUGUCUGGUUUAAUUUCCGAAUAACGAACGAAGACCUUGACUUGUUAAAUAGACGGGUUGACAUUUUGUUGGCCCCUUAUGUCUUCUUAGAGGGACAAUCGACCGUAUAGGUGAUGGAGGCAAAAGGCAAUAACAGGUCUGUGAUGCCCUUAGAUGUUCCGGGCUGCACGCGCGCUACACUGACAGAGACAACGAAUGGGGCCCCUUGUCCGAAAUGACUGGGUAAACUUGUGAAACUUUGUCGUGCUGGGGAUGGAGCUUUGUAAUUUUUGCUCUUCAACGAGGAAUUCCUAGUAAGCGCAAGUCAUCAGCUUGCGUUGACUACGUCCCUGCCCUUUGUACACACAAACCCGUCGCUACUACCGAUUGAAUGGCUUAGUGAGGACUUGGGAGAGUACAUCGGGGAGCCAGUCUAUUCUGUUUCAAACGCUGACGGCUCAAACUCUUACAAACUGGUGGAUAUUUCUAUGUCCUAGUGAUCGCGCCGCA